rnacentral:lncRNA from 1 species
UGAAUCACCAAAGCAGUUUCUCAUUCUCAGAAAAAUACGCUUGACAUCCUGUGAGUCAAACCACUCGAAACAGAAAAGAUCCCUCAAAUGGACAAGUAAUAUGGAAGUAGUCAUCCUGGGCCAGUAUUUCCAGAUGAUAGUUCAGAUUUAUCCCAUCUUGCUCUCUACAAAUAGAAGUGAUAUUAUCUUCCAUCUCUGUAAUCCUGAUAUGAAAACAAACAAGCACACAUAGCCUGUGAACUCUGAAUGGAGAAAGACAUCUGGAGAAGAAUCAUGGAGAACAACUUGCUGGGAUGUUAUCAGAUGGCCUUUGUUCCUUUGAAAAAAAGAUGAAAUGCAAGUUAUAAGUUGUUUAAAUGGAACAUCAGGAAUUUACUGCCACUGAGGAUGUAGACCUAUAACUUCUAAAAGAGUAUUAUUAAGACAUCUGCUAGAUGCAUAAUGUAGAAACUAUAGUAAAUCUGCAAUAUUUCAGAAGACAGAUAGUGAAGACAUAUAAAAAAAGUUGAUUAUCUCAUUUGACAAGUCAUCAAGAGAUAUCCAUAUUGUGUAAGA